rnacentral:rRNA from 1 species
UGAGGAACAUGACCUUCGGCGGGGGAUAGCCGGCCCAACGGCCGGGUAAUACCGCGUACGACCGUCUAGGGACAUCCCUAGAUGGUGAAAGCAGCAAUGCGCCGAUGGAGUGCCUCGCGGCCUAUCAGCUAGUUGGUGAGGUAACGGCUCACCAAGGCGACGACGGGUAGCUGGUCUGAGGAGGAUGGCCAGCCACAUUGGGACUGAGACACGGCCCAGACU